CACCGCGUAGUGUAGUGGUUAGCACGCUAGGCUUACAACCAAGAAGGCCCGGGUUCGAAUCCCGAGCGCAGUGA